rnacentral:rRNA from 1 species
GAUGAACGCUGGCGGCGUGCCUAAUACAUGCAAGUCGAGUGAACAGACGAGGAGCUUGCUCCUUUGACGUUAGCGGCGGACGGGUGAGUAACACGUGGAUAACCUACCUAUAAGACUGGGAUAACUUCGGGAAACCGGAGCUAAUACCGGAUAACAUGUUGAACCGCAUGGUUCAACAGUGAAAGACGGUCUUGCUGUCACUUAUAGAUGGAUCCGCGCCGCAUUAGCUAGUUGGUAAGGUAACGGCUUACCAAGGCAACGAUGCGUAGCCGACCUGAGAGGUGAUUCGGCAACACUGAACCGAGGCCACGGCCAAGACUCUACCGGAAGCCGGAGGUGGGGAUUCUUCGGAAUUGGCGGAAGCCUGACGGAGCAAACGCGGCGGAGUGAAAGAAGGCUUUCGAUUGGUAAACUCUGUUAUUAGGGAAGAACAAAUGUGUAAGUAACUAUGCACGUCUUGACGGUACCUAAUCAGAAAGCCACGGCUAACUACGUG